CAUGGUCUUCUUCCUCAUCUUCCUCUUGGUCAGUGCUUCCCCUUUCACCUUGCGUCUCCUUGUCAAGACUUCCGCUUUCACUUGAUAUUUGAAUAAUCUUGGAGGAAUCCCCACCUUCUUGCUCGAUCAAGACUUGAGGUGGUCCAUAAAAUGAGGAAACUUCAUCAAAAACAACAUUACGAGACACAGUAUACCUGUGUGUCUCUGGAUCCAUACACCUCCAGCCUUUCCUUUGUUCAUCAUAGCCAACAAAGAUGCACUUUUUCACCUUUGCCUCCAAC
rnacentral:lncRNA from 1 species